AGAAAGAGUCACUGGAGACAUUCUCUCAGAGUGGAUAUUGGGACCCUGAUCACUUCUCUCUCUGAUAAUCAUGAGGUGAGCUGUUUUGCAUCACCCAUGUGAUCCUGCAAGGCUAUUCUGCCUCACGACCAAUGAAGACAACCAGCCACAGACGAAAGCUUCUGAGACCAAUGCUUGCUUCCUUUAUUUUCUUGUGUAUUUGAUCACAGUAAUGAACUAACCAGAUAAUAUCAUUUGAAAUAAUUUGUUAGCAUCAGCUAAAUAUUGAGUGUAUCAUCAUCAUCAGUGAACAAAAUGCCUUAUUAUCAUACGAAAAGCAGUCCUUUCUUCCACACUCUGUCCAACGGUUGCUUAUUUCCUCAGGAAUGUUAACUAUUUGUAUCCCGACUGAGGUUAUGUACGUGUGGAGGCCAGAGUAUAACCUCAGGUGUCAUUUAUAAGCACCAGUUCUGAGGACAAAAACCAGGCAAGUACUUUGGGAGGAAGAGGCAAGCAUAUCUGUGAAUCAGAAGCCAGCCUGGUCUGGAAAGUGAGUUCCAGGACAGCUGGGGCUGUUACACAGAUAAACCUGGACUUGACAAAAAAAAAAUCAUUCCAUAAUAAAUAUUCUCUGAUUGUGAGUUCUUAGUGAAUGC
rnacentral:lncRNA from 1 species